CCCUUCGGGGUGUGACUGCGUACCUUUUGUAUAAUGGGUCAGCGACUUAUAUUCUGUAGCAAGGUUAACCGUAUAGGGGAGCCGGAGGGAAACCGAGUCUUAAUUGGGCGUUAAGUUGCAGGGUAUAGACCCGAAACCCGGUGAUCUAGCCAUGGGCAGGUUGAAGGUUGGGUAACACUAACUGGAGGACCGAACCGACUAAUGUUGAAAAAUUAGCGGAUGACCUGUGGCUGGGGGUGAAAGGCCAAUCAAACCGGGAGAUAGCUGGUUCUCCCCGAAAGCUAUUUAGGUAGCGCCUCGUGAAUUCAUCUCCGGGGGUAGAGCACUGUUUCGGCUAGGGGGCCAUCCCGGCUUACCAACCCGAUGCAAACUGCGAAUACCGGAGAAUGUUAUCACGGGAGACACACGGCGGGUGCUAACGUCCGUCGUGAAGAGGGAAACAACCCAGACCGCCAGCUAAGGUCCCAAAGUCAUGGUUAAGUGGGAAACGAUGUGGGAAGGCCCAGACAGCCAGGAUGUUGGCUUAGAAGCAGCCAUCAUUUAAAGAAAGCGUAAUAGCUCACUGGUCGAGUCGGCCUGCGCGGAAGAUGUAACGGGGCUAAACCAUGCACCGAAGCUGCGGCAGCGAACGUAUCACCCAAGACAACUUUACGGAGUUGACGAUUGACGGAGCGAAGCGACGUCAAAGCGUUCAUUAAAGUCGAGUUGGCUUAGGGAUACGUUCGUUGGGUAGGGGAGCGUUCUGUAAGCCUGUGAAGGUGUGUCGUGAGGCAUGCUGGAGGUAUCAGAAGUGCGAAUGCUGACAUAAGUAACGAUAAAGCGGGUGAAAAGCCCGCUCGCCGGAAGACCAAGGGUUCCUGUCCAACGUUAAUCGGGGCAGGGUGAGUCGACCCCUAAGGCGAGGCCGAAAGGCGUAGUCGAUGGGAAACGGGUUAAUAUUCCCGUACUUGGUGUUACUGCGAAGGGGGGACGGAGAAGGCUAUGUUGGCCGGGCGACGGUUGUCCCGGUUUAAGCGUGUAGGUGUGUGUUCCAGGUAAAUCCGGUUCACUUUAACACUGAGGCGUGACGACGAGGCACUACGGUGCUGAAGCAACAAAUGCCCUGCUUCCAGGAAAAGCCUCUAAGCAUCAGGUAACACGAAAUCGUACCCCAAACCGACACAGGUGGUCAGGUAGAGAAUACCAAGGCGCUUGAGAGAACUCGG
rnacentral:rRNA from 1 species